UGCACUUGUGUCUCUGUACCUCAUUAUUGGUACAAACUUAAAAGAAGUGCUGAUAUUAAAACCUUCUCUUGCGACCCACAACAUUUUUGUCCUGUAUGAGUUGUGUUACUUAUGGGAAGGGACAAC